CCUACGGGUGGCAGCAGUAGGGAAUAUUGCUCAAUGGGGGAAACCCUGAAGCAGCAACGCCGCGUGGAGGAUGAAGGUUUUCGGAUUGUAAACUCCUUUUGUUAGAGGAGUUAAUGACGGUAUCUAACGAAUAAGCACCGGCUAACUCCGUGCCAGCAGCCGCGGUAAUACGGCGGGUGCAAGCGUUACUCGGAAUCACUGGGCGUAAAGAGCGCGUAGGCGGGAUAGCAAGUCAGUGGUGAAAUCCUAUGGCUUAACCAUAGAACUGCAGUUGAAACUGUUAUUCUAGAGUAUGGGAGAGGUAGGUGGAAUUCGUGGUGUAGGGGUAAAAUCCGUAGAGAUCAAGAAGAAUACUCAUUGCGAAGGCGACCUGCUAUAACAUAACUGACGCUGAUGCGCGAAGGCGUGGGUAGCGAACAGGAUUAGAUACCCUAGUAGUC
rnacentral:rRNA from 1 species